GACGAACGCUGGCGGCGUGCCUAAUACAUGCAAGUAGAACGCUGAAGGAGGAGCUUGCUCUUCUGGAUGAGUUGCGAACGGGUGAGUAACGCGUAGGUAACCUGCCUGGUAGCGGGGGAUAACUAUUGGAAACGAUAGCUAAUACCGCAUAACAGUAGAUGUUGCAUGACAUUUACUUAAAAGGUGCAAUUGCAUCACUACCAGAUGGACCUGCGUUGUAUUAGCUAGUUGGUGGGGUAACGGCUCACCAAGGCGACGAUACAUAGCCGACCUGAGAGGGUGGUCGGCCACACUGGGACUGAGACACGGCCCAGACUCCUACGGGAGGCAGCAGUAGGGAAUCUUCGGCAAUGGACGGAAGUCUGAACGAGCAACGCCGGGUGAGGGAAGAAGGUUUUCGGACCGUAAAGCUCUGUUGUAAGAGAAGAAAGAGUGUGAGAGUGGAAAGUUCACACUGUGACGGUAUCUUAACAGAAAGGGACGGCUAACUACGUG
rnacentral:rRNA from 1 species